CACGGUUGACGGACCAUGUCGAAGAAGCUGUACGUCGGGAACAUUCCUCAAGAUUGCAAAGCGUACGAAUUGCAAGCGCUUUUCGAGCGGUAUGGAAAGGUUACCGAGUGCGACAUUCUAUCCGACUAUGGGUUUGUGCAUUACGACAAAACUGAAGACGCAUCGAGAGCAGCAGAGUCGCUAAACGGUUGGGAAUUUCAAGGGAAAGUGAUUCGAGUUGAGGUUUCAAAGAACCAGUUCAAGUCAGGAAAGCUUCGGCCUAUGGGUCCAAUUAGUCGUCGUGAGCCUCUCAGAGACCAACGUACAGGCCGUCCCUACUAUGACGCUGAUAUGUAUGGUACUUCACCGUAUCACAAUCCCUAUCACUAUCAUGACCCUUACGCUGGAAGCAGCCCUUACGCUGGAAGCAGCCCUUAUGCUGGAAGUGACCCUUACGCUGGAAGUGGUCCUUAUGCUGCAAGCAGUCCUCUGAUCAGGCCUCCACCACCACCGCCUCCAACUCGCUACUAUGAUGAUCACAGCCCUCGGUGGUAUGAAUAUGAGAGGCGUGAUUAUGACAGGCGUGAUCCAUACUACGAAGAGCGUCGGGCAUCAUCUUACUACUCUCGCUAUUCACCACCGCCGCCACCACCACCACCACCACCAAGAGAUUACCGUGCGUAUGAUCUUCCUCCACCUAGAUAUCGCUCUAGGAGUCGUACUCCACCAUAUCGAAGACCAGAACCACCACCACCACCACCUUCUGCUUAUGCAAGCUAUUAUGAAGAUAAAUACAGGGAGCCACCACCAAGAGGGCUGCUUUUAAUUAUGCCAACAUGAAGUUUGAUUUUUCUGAUUAUGGAUUGUCAAUAUCACUUUUCUCAAUGCUGGUUAGUUUGUGGCCUUUGUGGUAUUAAUUAUAGUAUGGUUUGUUUUGUUUAUGUCACAUUAAUCUGUCUACACGCUGCAGAUUGCCUUUCAUGCCGCUUGAACAGGUCUUGUGCUGAACUUUGACAUUGAAGAACUGAAGACCAGGACAAGGUUGUUUCUUAACCAGCAAUUAGAACCAAUUUUACCAAAUGAAAGUCUUGAAAUUGGAAUUUAUAUGAAACAGAUUUAGAAGACGAGUUGAUCAUGAAACAGUUUGUGAUGAUCUGUUCAUGUGUCAAGACUUCUGUGACAGAUAUGGUAGUCAUUACUGUGGCAUGGUUAGCAUUAGUGUGGUUGAGUUACUUGCACAGUAAUGACUCACAUGUACUUUGUUGUAAUCAAAUGAAAAAAUGUUUCUAGCAAUUUGGUUGAAAUGUGUUUUGUGCUCAGUGAAAGAAACGGGACAAGUACAUGAUAUAAAAUGUUAAUGAGUCUUAGAGAGAGAGUGUAAACUACUGACACAAACAUCAAGUUUGCUUCAGUAGCUUGAAGUGAAUGAAUGGUGACCUAGUAGGAAGUCUGUAAUUACCUAGUGCUAUCAAUGACAGUGUGCUUACUCUAUAAU